GACGAACGCUGGCGGCGUGCUUAACACAUGCAAGUCGAACGGAAAGGCCCUGCUUUUGUGGGGUGCUCGAGUGGCGAACGGGUGAGUAACACGUGAGUAACCUGCCCUUGACUUUGGGAUAACUUCAGGAAACUGGGGCUAAUACCGGAUAGGAGCUCCUGCUGCAUGGUGGGGGUUGGAAAGUUUCGGCGGUUGGGGAUGGACUCGCGGCUUAUCAGCUUGUUGGUGGGGUAGUGGCUUACCAAGGCGUUGACGGGUAGCCGGCCUGAGAGGGUGACCGGCCACAUUGGGACUGAGAUACGGCCCAGAGUCCUACGGGAGGCAGCAGUGGGGAAUAUUGCACAAUGGGCGGAAGCCUGAUGCAGCAACGCCGCGUGCGGGAUGACGGCCUUCGGGUUGUAAACCGCUUUCGCCUGUGACGAAGCGUGAGUGACGGUAAUGGGUAAAGAAGCACCGGCUAACUACGUG
rnacentral:rRNA from 1 species